GAUGAACGCUGGCGGCGUGCCUAAUACAUGCAAGUCGAGCGAACAGACGAGGAGCUUGCUCCUUUGACGUUAGCGGCGGACGGGUGAGUAACACGUGGGUAACCUACCUAUAAGACUGGGAUAACUUCGGGAAACCGGAGCUAAUACCGGAUAAUAUUUCGAACCGCAUGGUUCGAUAGUGAAAGAUGGCUUUGCUAUCACUUAUAGAUGGACCUGCGCCGUAUUAGCUAGUUGGUAAGGUAACGGCUUACCAAGGCAACGAUACGUAGCCGACCUGAGAGGGUGAUCGGCCACACUGGAACUGAGACACGGUCCAGACUCCUACGGGAGGCAGCAGUAGGGAAUCUUCCGCAAUGGGCGAAAGCCUGACGGAGCAACGCCGCGUGAGUGAUGAAGGUCUUCGGAUCGUAAAACUCUGUUAUUAGGGAAGAACAAACGUGUAAAUAACUGUGCACGUCUUGACGGUACCUAAUCAGAAAGCCACGGCUAACUACGUG
rnacentral:rRNA from 1 species